UGGUGAUGUAGCUCAGUUGGUAGAGCAAAGGACUGAAAAUCCUUGAGUCGGUGGUUCGAUUCCACUCAUCACCACCCA
rnacentral:tRNA from 1 species